rnacentral:tRNA from 1 species
GGAGUGGUAGUUCAGUUGGUUAGAAUACCGGCCUGUCACGCCAGUGGUCGCGGGUUCGAGCCCCGUCCACUCCGCCA